rnacentral:tRNA from 1 species
AUACGAAGAUACCACGAUGAGUGUCCACACAGAUUGAUUAGGUUUAGAAAGUAAAAGAGACGAUAUUGGGUCUGUAGCUCAGCUGGUUAGAGCGCUCGCCUGAUAAGCGGGAGGUCGGUGGUUCGAGUCCACUCAGACCCACCAAUAUCGACUAGAAACAAAGAUGGGGCUAUAGCUCAGCUGGGAGAGCGCCUGCCUUGCACGCAGGAGGUCUGCGGUUCGAUCCCGCAUAGCUCCACCAUCUUUAAGUGUUUUUAUCUGAAAAUAUUUAAAAAUGGUUUCGAAAGAAAUCUAGCUCUUUAACAAUUUGGAAAGCUGACUGAUUGAUUACUUACGAGUAAUUCAAUCAAAUUUAAAAGUUCUCAAUGUUUAUCUUUCAUUAGAUAAACACAACAAACACAUUCAAGUGUCUUGUAUUCGAAUCAAUGUUUACAUUGAUUCACAAUUGAGUCCGGCAAACAGUUAUCAAGAAUUAACCCUUCUUGAUGACAACCAAAAACCUUGGUUAGUUGCCAUACGUUAAGACCCUUUCGGGUUGUA